GCCUCUUUGGCUCAGUCGGUUAGAGCGCAAGUCUCAUAUAUUAAGUUGCCAAACGACUUUUGUAAUGUGAUCUUGAGGUCGAAAGUUCGAAUCUUUCAAGUGGCA